GGUGGUGCAUGGUUGUCGUCAGCUCGUGUCGUGAGAUGUUGGGUUAAGUCCCGCAACGAGCGCAACCCUCGCCUCUAGUUGCCAGCAUUCGGUUGGGCACUCUAGAGGGACUGCCGGCGACAAGUCGGAGGAAGGUGGGGAUGACGUCAAAUCAUCAUGCCCCUUAUGACCUGGGCUACACACGUGCUACAAUGGGCGGUACAAAGGGCUGCGAACCCGCGAGGGGGAGCGAAUCCCAAAAAGCCGCUCUCAGUUCGGAUUGCAGGCUGCAACUCGCCUGCAUGAAGCCGGAAUCGCUAGUAAUCGCGGAUCAGCAUGCCGCGGUGAAUACGUUCCCGGGCCUU
rnacentral:rRNA from 1 species